AGGACGAACGCUGGCGGCGUGCUUAACACAUGCAAGUCGAGCGGAAAGGCCCUUCGGGGUACUCGAGCGGCGAACGGGUGAGUAACGCGUGAGUAAUCUGCCCCUAGCUCUGGGAUAGCUCCGGGAAACCGGGAUUAAUACCGGAUACGACCACCUUAGACAUCUUUUGUGGUGGAAAGAAUUUCGGCUAGGGAUGAGCUCGCGGCCUAUCAGCUUGUUGGUGGGGUAACGCCUACCAAGGCGACGACGGGUAGCCGGCCUGAGAGGGCGACCGGCCACACUGGGACUGAGACACGGCCCAGACUCCUACGGGAGGCAGCAGUGGGGAAUAUUGCGCAAUGGGCGAAAGCCUGACGCAGCGACGCCGCGUGGGGGAUGAAGGCCUUCGGGUUGUAAACCCCUUUCAGCAGGGACGAAGCGAAAGUGACGGUACCUGCAGAAGAAGCGCCGGCUAACUACGCGCCAGCAGCCGC
rnacentral:rRNA from 1 species